UCUAAGUACAACCAUAAAUUUUCGUGUUUAAAUUUGAUCGUCCAUUUUAUUUAAUUUUUUUUAAUUAGUAUUUUAUUGUUAUGGGAUGAUAAAACAUAAAUAAUAUUUUAUGUAUGAUUUUUUUAAAAAAAAUAAAUAAAACGAAUGAACAAAAUUUAGUACGGAAAAGCAUGAUUGUACACGAA
rfam:Oryza glaberrima chromosome 5 Oglab05_0003_1, whole genome shotgun sequence.